CACCAGCCACAGCAAAAACUGCUAACAAAUACGGGAAUUACGGGAUGAUCGUUAAUGUCACACACACGGUACAGGUCACGGACUUUCACGGGGGAGUGGUUUAACGGGAACCGUAGACAACCGUUGCCGUGGGGGAGGGGCUGGACGGGCAACCGUAUGAAGACCGUGCAGUCUGACCACAUUAGCUGACGGACAAUAAAGAGACACCGUAUAUCUAUAGAGUUUUGCUACUAUAUAAUUAUGUGCCCACUUCAUCAAUGGCUAUACUAAUAAAAAAAACAGGGUGUAAAUCUAGUUGAUCAAGACGAGAGUGGAUUAGAGCCACAACCAAAGAGGACCAGAUCUAGAGCUGCUAGAUCUAGUGUCCUGUGUCCUCACUUGCGAUCAGCACAUAUCCAAAUCUAGUUAUUACGGUAUUCAGAUACAGACCUGAGUGACCAUGACUUGCCUGGAUAGCUAUAUUCAACUGGAGUUGUACUGUCGACUGGUUAUAAUAAUAAUAAACUUGCACUGUUUUAUAAUAAAUUAUUAUUCUUACUGAUAGGAGGAGGAGGAGGAGGAGGAGCUCGUAAUUGCGCAUGCGUAGUAUGAAACCCACAUUUUAAGCGGGAUUUGGAGAAGCUGAGGACUUGGAUUUUAAGAUCAAGAGCCUUCACGUUGACGUUGAGCAUGAGAGAGCCGGUUCUCUAGCUUCAUGGAAGGGAAGCCUGUACGUAUCUGUUCAUGAACCAGCCAAAAAGUGUGUUAAGACAAAUGCUCAUGUGAUCAAUCAAUGACAAUCGCGUACUGGGCGUGGAAUCAAAAAUAUGAUGUGUCAUGACAGUGGACAUUACAGGCACCCAUUAACGUGUUGAAAACGACUCGUUGGACAAUCAUAAUUAUUAUGAUGAUUUAAUAAUAGAAUCUCAGUACAGUAAUGUUGCAGACGUAAACCAACGAACUCUACCGUAAACACAUCAUCUUUCACUACAAUGUAAAGAUGAACAACAAGACCGACGAGGUCGAUCAAAUCGAUCAGAGUGAACCAAGCGAUUCGAGAGAGGCAAUCGAUCAGAGUGAACCCGUAACACGUGAUCAAGAUCACCUACCUGCACAGCACAUAUUUAAAACAAAACAUGUUUAAAGCAAAACAUGCAGCUUGUAUAGCGAAGCUGUUACGACCAACGGCAAAAGUGCUGGAUUUCGACAGAGUGAGAUUUAAAAGCACCGAGUAAAACGAAGAAACGAUAAAACGAAGAAAACGAAGGCUGAGCUUCCAUCAAAACUAGGCAAGAUAAGACAAGUGUACUACUGUGCCCAUAAAACUCUUCCAACUGACAGUGAAUUACUCAAAGACUUACAAACUUGCUACAAGAAUGCUAGCUACUUGGCACAUUAAGAUACCGUUCCGUAGCGUUUGCGUAGUAACAAAACGGUAAUUA